GGAUUGUGGCUCAGUGGUAGAGUGCUUGCCUAGCAUGUGUGAGACACUGGGUUCAAAUCCCGGGAACCA
rnacentral:tRNA from 1 species